UGCUGGUCUGAUCUGGAAGGAGGUUUCAGGUAGUUUGAGUCUGCUCCAUGAAUUAUCAUCAUCCUGGAACCGCAGCUACCCAGGGCAUGUUUUGUCAUGGUGGAUUGUAGAAUUCCAGCUGUUCGAUGCAUGAAACCAACAGCAAAUGUCGUUUUUUGGUUCUUUGCUUAUUGGUGGCUCUUCUUCACCAGAUCACCCAAGAGAGAACACUGGAAUUCAACAGAAGUGACAGGAGACACCUAAGACAAGGAAAGAGAGAGAAGCGAGGCAGCCUGGCUGGCUGGGAUUACCUAAGAACCUGAAGAGGCUUCCCAAUGUGGA